rnacentral:rRNA from 1 species
CCUACGGGGGGCAGCAGUAGGGAAUCUUCCACAAUGGGCGAAAGCCUGAUGGAGCAACGCCGCGUGGGUGAAGAAGGUCUUCGGAUCGUAAAACCCUGUUGUUAGAGAAGAAAGUGCGGGAGAGUAACUGUUCAUGUUUCGACGGUAUCUAACCAGAAAGCCACGGCUAACUACGUGCCAGCAGCCGCGGUAAUACGUAGGUGGCAAGCGUUAUCCGGAUUUAGUGGGCGUAAAGGGAACGCAGGCGGUCUGUUAAGUCUGAUGUGAAAGCCUUCGGCUUAACCGGAGUAGUGCAUUGGAAACUGGGAGCCUUGAUUGCAGAAUAGGGGAGUGGACCUCCAUGUGUAGCGGUGAAAUGCGUAGAUAUCUGGAAGAACACCAGUGGCGAAUGCGGCUCUCUGGUCUGUAACUGACGCUGAGGUUCGAUAGCGUGGGUAGCAACCAGGAUUAGAUACCCCAGUAGUC